AUAGCUAAUAGUGUAAUAGCUAUUAGUGUAACAACUAAUAGUGUAACAGCCAAUAGUGUAAUGCUAAUAGCUAGUUGAGUAAUAGCUAAUAGUGUAAGAGCUAGUAGUAUAAAAGAUAGUAGUGUAAUAGCUAAUAGUAUAAUAGCUAGUAGUGUAAUAGCUUUUUAUACGCUAAUGUCGGUCAACAGGAGCUUAUGAAGUGGAUGAUAAUAAUUUCCAUCGCUAAUCGCUAGUAUGUAUGAGAGUCCAGGAUGGUAGAGUCCAGGAUGGUAGAGUCCAAGAUGGUAGAGUCCAAUGUUCACGCUUGGACAGACACCACGGCCUCAGCGCUGGCACAAGGAGGUGAAUUGUUGUCUGUCUCCUGGAGGUGUUCACUGGCUUUAAGGAUGUCCACAUCUCGGGGGCUGGCCAUCAUCUCCUCGCUGUUGCAGUUGACGGGGGAACCCGUCUCGGACGAGGGGUCGCCCGGCUUGUCGGGGGCGGCCUGCAGGGUGGCGGCCGGGAGCGGCAGGUUCAUCAUGUAGAGCAUGCUGCCCAUGCGCCGUGAGACCUGUGUUUUGGAGACAAUGCUGUCAAUUACUGAGUACACUUGAACAUCACACAGUAUAUUUGAUGCUUUUUUAUAGAAUAUUUGAAGUGAGGGUUGCGGCUGUAGUGAACCUGCGAGCGUAUCUUGAGUGCGGGCCCCAGCUUGAGGCCCAGCGUGUCCAGCAGGUGUUCCUCGGAGAGCAAGGGCAAGGUCUCGCCAUCAAUCAUGUGGUCCUUAAAGGUCUGCGGGGGUAAACGGGGGUGGUCACAUGAGUGUGACCAGGAAGUCGAUGCAAACAAAGAGAGUGCGGUGCCCACCUGAGCGUACUCUGAACACGUUGGGAUGCUGUUAACGAAGUUGUAAACGUCGUUGACGCUCCACUUCCUCACGUCCGACGACACCUCGUCGCCGUUCAGGAAGAGGUUGGGCGGCCCUGAGGGUCAGUCAAGAUAUGGGGGGCGUGGCAAUAGACAGUCAAGUAAACAAGAACGGCGGCAUACCAGGUGGAAGGAAGCCGUUUCCAGUGACGGGGAAGAUGUACGGCAUUCCCGCUGGGGGGUACAUGAACUUCUCCUGGAAAGAUCCGCACUGGCCUUCCUUGUCGCUGGCGCCGCUGUUGCUCACAUCCUGGCACGCCUCUGUGGCGCCGACGCAGGUCUUACGAAGCCCCGCCUCCCCCUCCUUGUAGUUCUUCCUGCCUCCUGCAGCCAUCUCUGAGUCCACUUUGCUCUGAUGAUGAUGAUGCACCUUUCCGGUGGCCCCCUCGUCCCCGGUGUCUCCCUUCACAUCCACUUCUUUCUCCUCCCCGCCGGACGCAGCCCCCGGGCUUUGCUCCACACUCUUGUCCUCGGCGGGGCCCUUGCCGUUGCCCGCCGGGUGUUCGGCGCUCUUGUGAGCGGCGGGCCUCCUUCCCACCCUGCGGCCCCGCUCUCUGUGCAGCGUCCCCACAGGCGGAUAUGGGCUAGCCGACAUCAGCAGGCUUCCGGAGUGGAGGUCGUCCAGGGCCGGGCGGUGGACGAAGACGUCGUGGCUCUCGGGUAUGCGCUGGCGUCCCCUGAAGGCCAUGGGGUUAGACGGGUAGGACAUUGGGGCCUCCAUGCCCAUCAGACCCUUCUGGUGGGCGUUCUCCAGCUCCUUCUGGUGCAGGAUGGCGUUCAUCUCCAUUCUGAACACAACAACAUUCAGAAAAUCAUUUGAUCAGAGCGCGUAUGUAGGGAGCCUGUGGCUCCGCCUCUUUCUCGUUCAUGUAGGGAGGAAGUGGCGCCCCCUUUUCCUCCUUAAUGCAGUACUGUUUCCCAUUCAAAGCAUGCAGUAAAUGUAUAAAUUAAGGGUGGACGAUCAUUAUCAGGCCCAUUUGAGGAUAUUAUGAUAUUAUGGCGGACGUCGUGGUGAAUGUGAGACCGCCGUGGCAGCGGCUGCUCGGAGCGGGUACCCAAGCACUGGGUCUGAUGCUGAUGAUGUACCCACCUGGCCAUGUUUUGCUUGUGAAGGAGCUCCUGUCGCCGGGCAACCGUUUCCAGAGGCUCGGAGGGCAGGAAGCCAUAACCGCCUGAGGAGAAAACAAGAGAAAACACAAUGCACACCUCAAACAUCACACACUGAAGCGGUGUCCUCACAUUUGAUGUGGAAGUGGUUCUUCCAGGAAGGACACUAGCAUGUGGCGCUAAAGGGGGGCCCAGGUGAGGUCCCAUGUGCAUCUGCCUGGCUUCAGGAGCCACCAUCUCAGCAGGCGGGACCAAGUCCCUGAAGAACCGAGAACAGGAAAAAAGCCGGCACCCCCUGUAACCUCUGCUGACCCUGGGCGAGGAUCUGCGGCGCCAUGGCCAUCUGGUUCCUCAUCAUCAUCUCCUGCCUCUGCCUCAGCUCUACCACAGACACGGAAUGGCGGCUAUGACUUCCUGCCCUCCGAGCCUCUGGAAACGGUUGUGCCCUGUGAUUGGCUGGCCACCAGUCCAGGGUGUACCCCGCCUCUUGCCUGAAGACAGCUGGGAUAGGCUCCAGCACCCCCGCGACCCUCGUGAGGAAAAGCGGUAGAAAAUGAAUGAAUGCGGCUAUGACUUCCUGCCCUCCGAGCCUCUGGAAACGGUUGUGCCCUGUGAUUGGCUGGCCACCAGUCCAGGGUGUACCCCGCCUCUUGCCUGAAGUCAGCUGGGAUAGACUCCAGCCUACCCUGACCACCCUCGUGAGGAAAAGUGGCGGCUAUGGCUUCCUGCCCUCCGAGCCUCUGGAAACGGUUGUGCCCUGUGAUUGGCUGGCCACCAUUCCAGGGUGUACCCCGCUUCUGGCCCGAAAACAGCUGGGAUAGGCUCCAGCACCCCCUAAUGGUUUAUCAAUGAUGGAGCCAAGCAAAGCCAAACAUCUGAGCAACCAACAACCCCUAAUAAAGGACUUUGGAUUUAAGCAACCCAGAGAAUUAGGACUUGAAAAUCAGUCAUCUAAACCAACUAAUUUAAGGUCUCUGCUGGGCCGUGUAAGCUUUUUAUGAGGGAUUUCUGUCCAUCUUGUUUGCAGCCAGCAUUAUAGAGUCACAGUGAGGCGAAGGGAUCACGGCAGGUUUAACCUCCACGAGCAGGAGCGGCUAUAAAUUCACCGAUAAGACACAAACAACGGACCCCUGUCCAUCUUCUAAUUACAGCAACAAUCUGGUGUCCGGAUCACCCCCCCCCCCCCCUCCCCCGGCAUUGACACUGCGGCUUAAUCCCGCUGAAGUGCAAGCCCGCCGUAAAGCUUGUUUAGGUCUUGAUUACCAUCAGAGGCUGCAAUGGUCGGAUUCUUUAGGAUGAAUAAUCCCCUUGAAAUGACACAAAUAAGACGACGGUGCAUUCAGGAACAUCUCUGGUUAAAGGUGAGCUUCACUGUGAGAGAUGAUGCAAAGCAAACAUGGCUGACUAGCUGGGCUAAAAAUGCUAGAAUAAGCCAAAAGAUGAUAUUUUCACCAAAAAUGCAAUAAAUAAUAUGCGUCUUAUAUUCUUUGUUUUCUUUAACUGGCCUGUUCACUGGAUUAGACGCCUCUAAUCUUCAGGAAACAAUGUUGCCGAAUGGCUAAUUUAAUUGAUCAAAAAAGUUACUAAAUUGUGAAAUAUAGUUGAAUUAAAUUGAAUUUACAGUAUUUAUUAAGUAUAUUACAUAUCUCACGACCAAUGUACGGUACGAGGUACAUUAUUUAAAAACAAAAAAACAAACAAAAAAAAACAAACUGUAUUAUGGAAAGCAGGAAGUGAACAAAUGUAACAGUUGCUGUACAUUAAAAAUAAAAAAAUUAAUUACAAAAAAAAUGAAAAACAAUUCUUUUUUAUUAAAUUUAAAAAAUAAAAUAAAAAUAACUUAAAUUAUAUUAGGAAAACAGGAAGUGAACAAAUGUAACAGUUACUGAUUGUAAAAGUACCAGAUGGAGGGGUCGGAUUUAUUAAGCUUUGCUUCUUCCUACUCCUUUUGGACAUGUGGAACUGUGAACUGAUUAUGUGAUGCAUUCAAUUGUAAUCUGAUGCAUGUUCAAAUCAAAUAAAACCAUUACCAACAAAAUUGAAUUAAAAUGUUAAUUGGAUACAAACCCAAUAAUAUAUUCACUGAAAAAAACUAAACAUUACAUAAAAUAAUUCACAAAAAUAUAUAUAUAAAAGCUAUGAUACAUUUCCAAAAUGUUAGUAUUUAUAUUAGUAAAACAUUUUUAAAAAGGUAUUAUCAUCUUAUUUGAUAAAAUACUGCAAGUGUGACAAAAAUAG